AGCAAAAUUCAGCUUUUAAAAGGGUUUUAAAAUCAAUCAACACUUACACACAAAUCCAACCAAUCACACUUAGCAAUUAUAGCACAAUCACCAUGACGACUUGAGUUUCGAAAAGGUUUUGCAAUCAAUCACACUUACACACAAUUUCAAAACAUACACACUUAGCAAUUAUAGCACAAUCACUACGACAACUUGAGUUUCGAAAUGGUUUUGCA
rnacentral:lncRNA from 1 species